GACGAACCGUGCUAACGUUGUUCGGAAUCACUGGGCUUAAAGGGCGCGUAGGCGGGCACGUAAGUCAGGGGUGAAAGCCCACGGCUCAACCGUGGAAGGGCCUUUGAUACUGCGUGUCUGGAGGGAGGUAGGGGCGUGCGGAACUUCCGGUGGAGCGGUGAAAUGCGUAGAUAUCGGAAGGAACACCGGUGGCGAAAGCGACGUACUGGACCUCUUCUGACGCUGAGGCGCGAAAGCUAGGGGAGCAAACGGG
rnacentral:rRNA from 1 species